rnacentral:rRNA from 1 species
GAUGAACGCUGGCGGCGUGCCUAAUACAUGCAAGUCGAGCGAAUGGAUUAAGAGCUUGCUCUUAUGAAGUUAGCGGCGGACGGGUGAGUAACACGUGGGUAACCUGCCCAUAAGACUGGGAUAACUCCGGGAAACCGGGGCUAAUACCGGAUAACAUUUUGAACCGCAUGGCUCGAAAUUGAAAGGCGGCUUCGGCUGUCACUUAUGGAUGGACCCGCGUCGCAUUAGCUAGUUGGUGAGGUAACGGCUCACCAAGGCAACGAUGCGUAGCCGACCUAAGAGGGGGAGCGGCGACCCUGGGACUAAGACACGGCCCAGAAUACUACGGGAGGCAGCAGUAGGGAAUCUUCCGCAAUGGACGAAAGUCUGACGGAGCAACGCCGCGUGAGUGAUGAAGGCUUUCGGGUCGUAAAACUCUGUUGUUAGGGAAGAACAAGUGCUAGUUGAAUAAGCUGGCACCUUGACGGUACCUAACCAGAAAGCCACGGCUAACUACGUGCCAGCAGCCGCCGUAA